rnacentral:tRNA from 2 species
GGGGCGUGGCGAAAUUGGUAGACGCACUGGAUUUAGGUUCCAGCGCCGCAAGGUGUAAGAGUUCGAGUCUCUUCGCCCCCACCA